rnacentral:tRNA from 1 species
GGAAAUGUAACAGAAAACAGAAUGUCUUGUGGAUUUGGAGUCUGAAGUUCUAGGUUCAAAUCCUGACAUUUCUA